rnacentral:rRNA from 1 species
AUACGUAGGGUGCGAGCGUUGUCCGGAAUUACUGGGCGUAAAGAGCUCGUAGGUGGUUUGUCGCGUCGUCUGUGAAAUUCCGGGGCUUAACUCUGGGCGUGCAGGCGAUACGGGCAUAACUUGAGUACUGUAGGGGAGACUGGAAUUCCUGGUGUAGCGGUGAAAUGCGCAGAUAUCAGGAGGAACACCGGUGGCGAAGGCGGGUCUCUGGGCAGUAACUGACGCUGAGGAGCGAAAGCAUGGGUAGCGAACAGGAUUAGAUACCCUGGUAGUCCAUGCCGUAAACGGUGGGCGCUAGGUGUAGGGGUCUUCCACGACCUCUGUGCCGUAGCUAACGCAUUAAGCGCCCCGCCUGGGGAGUACGGCCGCAAGGCUAAAACUCAAAGGAAUUGACGGGG